UGCAUGUGUUCUUGAUUAGACGACCACUAAGUCGUAACUCAUGUAGUCGCGUGGCAAUCGCUUUAUAACAAACCCAAAGCUAGAAAAGAAACCGAGAAGCCGAGAAAGAUCCUUUAGAACAGAGGAAAGAAAGCUUCUAGAACAAAAGUACAGAGAGACAACAAACAUGUACCUUGGAGCUAUAGCUUCUUCACGACUAUUAGAGUAGAAAGCCGGUUAUGUGGUUUAGUAUUGGUUAAAUGUUUGUUACAUGUAAACUGGAAUCAACUCAUAGUAUAAGAAUUAAACUUUUUCAGUUUCCGAUACAGUUUCAAACCAACACAAUAUUAAGCUAACUCGUCCGAACUCAAUCAGUUGCAAUGCAAAGCUCCACACCAUGAAGACGAAUCUGACCGGAGAAAUGAGAAUCAGCUGGCGAAAUUGGCAAUCGCGACGUUAGCUGUUAGCGUUUUGGCUUUGGGAUCCGUUGGAGUUGCAUCUGCGGCUAUGAGCGGUGGAAGAAUUGGCGGUCAAGCGUUUCGGUCUUCUGCUCCUCGGCCUCCACGGCUCCACCAAGAAUUAACAACGGAUCGAGUCUCAUUGUGAUUAAAUGUUUCGGAGAGAUGGCACAGAACAGUAAAUCUUAUUACUCUGGCCCUCAGGGGCUGAUGCGGCGGCCAUCUUGUAGUACCGCCCCAACUAUGUCCAUUGAAGUUUUUGACCAUGAGGUGGUUCCAGCUAUUCACGGAAGGGGACUUCAAGUAUGGGAUGUUCGAGAACACAAUCAUGAAAAUGGUAGUGUCCUCAAACCAUGAGUUGAGAACACCAUCAAUGACAAUUCUUGCAGUGCUCUUCUUUUGAAGGUAAACCAAAUCGAAUUUGUAACCGAGAAUAUCCAGGCGGUUAAAAUGUCACAGAGAGAUUUAUGAUCGUAAUGAGAUUCAGUGAAAGAGAAUGAUGGUGGCAGAAAACGAAGCUUCAAUGGUGGAGGUGCUGAGGCUACUAGAAUUAGAUGAAUUUUUUUGUUGUG